rnacentral:rRNA from 1 species
UGCUCGAAAGAGAGCCGUAACACAGGUGCUGCAUGGCUGUCGUCAGCUCGUGUCGUGAGAUGUUGGGUUAAGUCCCGCAACGAGCGCAACCCUUGCCAUUAAUUGCCAUCAUUCAGUUGGGCACUUUAAAGAGACUGCCGGUGUCAAACCGGAGGAAGGUGGGGAUGACGUCAAGUCCUCAUGGCCUUUAUGCCCAGGGCUACACACGUGCUACAAUGGUCGGUACAAAGGGUUGCCAAGCCGCGAGGUGGAGCUAAUCCCAUAAAACCGAUCGUAGUCCGGAUCGCAGUCUGCAACUCGACUGCGUGAAGUCGGAAUCGCUAGUAAUCGUGAAUCAGAAUGUCACGGUGAAUACGUUCCCGGGCCUU